GGCCAAGGAAGAGGCAGCCAUGGCCAGAGGCAAGGGAAGGACAAACCAAGAUAAUGUAAAAGUACUAAGGAAUGCUCCCAGUGUGCAGGAUCUCUGAGACAAGUCUCUCUCUUGCUGUACAAAACGUUUUAGCUUUGCUCAGGCCUUUGAAAGACAGAAAAGUGCUAACAGUCACUUCAACAAAAAUAGGAGGGCAGCAUUCGUGUGUCUGAAUGGAGCAUCAGUUUUCAAAAAAAUCAAGCUGUCCUGGCCAACCUGUCACUUAGUGGGACGCACUGGACACUGGAAGCCUGUGGAAUGUUCUUAUUCCAGUGAAUCACAAGGGCAGCCAAGCCUGGCUCUGCUUCGCUUUGUGGGAAGUGAAUGAACUUAUGUCACACAGUUGCUCUCUUGUGUUCUCAUCACUCAAAUAACUCACUGCAGAGGUGAGGUUCAUGACGCCUUCGCCACUCGGCUUGGGUGUAUGAUCAAGUUAUACCAAGAAAGUGACCCACUUCAGCCUGUCCAGCGGAGCGGUCUCUGAAGAGCUGCAUGUUUUUCCCCUCUCUGGGUGUGAAAAAGUCCUCCCAAACCUGUGCUGAGGUUAAGAGCAGCUAGCUCUUAAUGAAGCCAGGCCAGAAAAGGAUGCAAUUGGAAAAUACUGGAAGGAACAUGCCUUGGCUCUGUUUCAUCCUUUUGUCAACUGCAUGUGAAGGUUUAUAAUGCCUCCUGAGUUUACUGGAUCCAUCAUCUUGGAUUCCUAGGCAGUAGCAACAGCAAGAAAUGCAGAAAACUGCACCUUUUGCUCCUGCUUAAAUAUGUACCCACAGUCACUCCUGCUUGUCACUACAGGCUGAAGCUGAUGGCCUUGAAACUUCAGUCCAUGCCAGUGGCAUGGCAUCCUGGUGCUGCAGUGUUACCCUCCCAUGAACCUCACCUUACCUUGGGCUAGUUUGGGACUGGUUGCCAUUUAGGAGGUUGAGGACCGCUAUGUUGCUCAGAAGCAAUUGCUGCAGCCCACACAGAUGUGGAGCUGUGGAGAGACAGGACCGAAGCCUUCUGGUGCGUGAAGGAUAAGCCCACCUUGGAUUUAUUUUCAGCAUGUAUUAACGAUGUGUGUGUGUACAAAGAAAAUCUGCCUUGUGCUACAAGGCAAGAUACAGCCAGCAAAUCUCUUUUCAAAUUCACAGUACAUCAAAUGUAAAUGAGAUAAAGAGAGGUCUCAUUUGGACAACAAAAUGUCUCCACACAAUUGCUCCUCUAGGCAUCCUAGCAACCUUUUCAAGAGAUGCUGGUUAUCGUGCAAUAAAGCUGUUCUUCUGCAGUGCUGAGGGAGGAGGCAACUGGCUACAGUCUCAGAUGGUGGACAGAAUUACAGUGGGUUAUGUCAGGAAAGCGUAACGUUAAACGUGCAUUUGAAAAAAGGAGAAAACAAAAAAUAAUAGUCACGGCCUGAAUUAUAGCAGCUUUCUAUGAUGAAGUGUGUGGACCCCACCCAGCAUCUGUGGUAGAGGAGGGAAGGUGUCUGCUAAACCCAACGGUUAUGAUGGGAAUGGAAAAAGCCAGGCUCCAGCUGAGAGUAGGACAGGGAGGAUGAGGAAACAGUUUCAUGUUUCUCCCAGCAAAACCUCAGGGGAUAAAGAUUACUGCUGCAAAAACUUUAAUGGUAGUAAAAGCCUUUGGCUGCAGAAGUUGUUUAUAACGGAGGUGUAUUAACCGCUUAGAGACCUCAGCUGAAGAGGACUCUGAUAUUUCACUGAAUCUAAGUUGCAAAAUCCUUUUUUCUCUCUCAAAAAGCCUCUGCAUCAGAAAACUUAAUUUAUUGGAUACACAUGGAGUUUGGCUGGGAGACAUUAUAUGCUGUGUGUCAGACAUGUCCCGAUAACGCCCUGCUUUCAGGUCCCGACAGCUGAGCUCACCACUUGGCUAGUGCACUAUUCACUGGAUUUUGAGUCUGAUCAUAAGUAUGUCACUUUGCGUUAGUUUCUGAAACUAAAAUAUUUCACAAGCAGUAGUGUUAGACGCUUGCUUGCUCUGAAGGAUUCUCAGCAGAGCUGGGCAAGCUAUUUGCAAUCAUCAACUGCUUAAUUGCAUUUAAUCUUUUACAAAGUAGGCAAGAACUAAGCAAUGAUGUCUUCCACUUCUUUGCUUGAAAGAUUUCAGUGUGCUCUGUGCAAACAUGAUUCAGCCUCUGAACCGCUUGAUUUUUAACCUGGAAGUUGGCAUGAUUCAGUAAGUGUGCAUGAGAGGUGGGAUCAGGUUUCUGAUGCAAAGGACCAUGAGGGAGAAUUCAAGCUUGGUUUAUGCAAAGCUGCAGCCUCCAUCAGCGCUCCCUUGUUCACUGGGGCAUUUGUACAAACUGAAGAAAAUGGGUCUUAGUCUGUUUAAAAGCUUUUGCAGAUAUAAAGAAUUACUCAAGAACAUUUGUGUCACUACUUACACAUGGGGGUUUUAUUGUUUCAGGUCUACUUCCUGAAGGUUUGAGGCCCAAAGACUACUUGUAGCUACUUUCUACUGUCUUCUAUUCUGGCUACUCCUCUUUCACCGAGAAAAACACUGGGAAGUUGUAAUCUAAUAGCAUAAACAGCCUCAGCAGCAAGUGAAAAAGUGUGCUCUGCAGAGGUUCAAAACAGAUCAGACAGGCCUCGCUGGGGGAUAUGAGAGGUGAAGCGUAGCCCAGACCAAUAAAUUCUCCUCUGUUGGCUCUGCACAGGUCUGCUCAAGUGUCUCAGCCCUGCACUGCCGGAGCUGAGCGCGCCGUGGUUUGGCACAGCCAGCCAAAACCAGCCCCGUUUAUUAGCUUGGUCUCAGAACUGGGGGUGCCCUGGGUGGAGGCAGCAGGAGGAGGCACGAGGAGCUGCAGAGCCCUGGGAACUAGUGAGGACGAGCAGGGAUGGACACGGAGGGGAGAGGGGCCAAGAGCAGGCGGUGGUGAGGCAUGGGAAACUCGGCAGGUUCCUCAAGCCAGGUUUACAGAAAGAUUAGCAAGUGCGAAAACAGAGCGUGGGGCACUCUAUGCUGCCAGGAGGCUGUCAGGGAAGGAAGAUAGUAUUUGCCGCUGACAGAGAAGUUGAGGGAGCAAAGAACAGAGGUAAACUGGUUUCACUGCUGACCUUCAGACUUAAUUUGUU